CCACCCCUCCAGACCCGCCCACCGAGACCCGCUCUCGAAGCCCUUCGGAGCCGCUCAGUCCCACAUCGGGGCCAAGGCCACGCACCGUAUCCUGCUGGUGGCGGGACCCGAAUCCACGGCGCGCGCGAGCCUGGCCCCACGCCGCCUCCGGCGUCCCCAGGAGCAGGGCACCCGCGGAGAGCCGGGGAAGAGGCAGGCUGGGGUUCGGAGGGGCGACGGGGGUGACCAGAGCCCAGACAGAGAAACAACCAAGACCCACGCCUGCUACGACGGGAGCGGAAGCGGACACCGCGGCCGCGUAGGAGCCAGGCGUCGGCGCGCCGCCGUGGGACCUCGGCCGGGUCAUUUCUGUCGGUCCGCAGGUUACGCGGGCAGCGCCCAGAGCCCAGGCCGAGUCAACCAGGAGCCGCGGCGGCAAGAACAGGACUGGCCUCUGAGAAAGAUUCAGGGAACUGGGAGGGACGGGGCCAGGCUGAAGGGGCCAGGGGAGGUCGCCCUCCCUCGCUGACUCCGCGGGAGCGGCAGUCUGUGAAAGCAAAAUCUUCCCCGGGUUGCACCUGUCCCGCUUGCCCUUCAACUCCUGGCAUGGUCCUUGUGCAAGAAACUCCCGGUAACAACCUGUUUAGACAAGCUGGUCUUGCCUAGGAGGAACCCGUGUGGGCGCACACGGAGAUGCCCCCGGGAUGUUCGUGGAGACAGUGCUAGUCGGAGUGAACUGGGGGCGACCUGCAUCGAGGAAUCUGUCCGUCCCGUGGAACAGGUCAAUCACUAGAAUCCGGUCCACUCAAGAGCGAGUCUGCAUGCAGCAAGCCGGUCUCCGCCUCUGGGCCUCUCUGCCCGCCAGCCGUCUCAGUCUCUGUCCUCAGCACUGCCACCACUCCACUCUCGUCUCUGCUCUCCUGCAGCCUUGCAGCCAAGCCACUGAGUCACCCAGAGCACUGGGUGGAGCUCUUUAUAUAGAGUCAAUAAUAACGUAUUGCCCACACGUGUGUAGUGAACUAGCUGACCAGGGCCAGGUGAGAAUCCUGGCCAUGGGAACCUUCUCUUUAUCCACAACAUACACGUAGGGAAGAAAUACACCAUUACAUUAGGUGUCAGAGGUAUGACAGUGGGCCCUGGUCCAAUGUCUGGUGCCCUUACAAGAGCAAAAUUUGGACACAGAGGGAAGACUUCCAUGUGAAGACGAAGGCAAAGACAUGCAGCCGCAGGCCAAACAUCACCAGGACUGCUGGCAACGACAGAAGCCGGGAGAGAGGCCCGGGGCAGACCUUGGAGCCUCCGUUAGGAGCCAACCUUGCUGACACCUAGGAUUUGGACUGCUGGCCUCCAGAACUGUGAGAGAAUAAAUUUGUUUUAAGCCACCCA